AGAGUUUGAUCCUGGCUCAGGAUGAACGCUGGCGGCGUGCUUAACACAUGCAAGUCGAACGGAGUUAUGAUGUGAGCGGAAAGAAGCUUGCUUUGGACUAAUCUUUCAUAACUUAGUGGCGGAUGGGUGAGUAACGCGUGGGUAACCUGCCUUAUACAGGGGGAUAACAGUCGGAAACGACUGCUAAUACCGCAUAAGCGCACAGUAUCGCAUGAUACCGUGUGAAAAGAUUUAUCGGUAUAAGAUGGACCCGCGUCUGAUUAGCUGGUUGGUGAGGUAACGGCCCACCAAGGCGACGAUCAGUAGCCGGCCUGAGAGGGUGAACGGCCACAUUGGGACUGAGACACGGCCCAAACUCCUACGGGAGGCAGCAGUGGGGAAUAUUGCACAAUGGGGGAAACCCUGAAUGCAGCGACGCCGCGUGAGUGAAGAAGUAUUUCGGUAUGUAAAGCUCUAUCAGCAGGGAAGAAAAUGACGGUACCUGACUAAGAAGCCCCGGCUAACUACGUGCCAGCCGCGGC
rnacentral:rRNA from 1 species